rnacentral:lncRNA from 1 species
GUACACCUUCAGCCUCACCGUGUGGAAGGCCGGCCGCAAGGAGGAGGCCACCAACCAGACGGUGCUGAUCCGGAGUGGCCGGGUGCCCAUUGUGUCCUUGGAGUGUGUGUCCUGCAAGGCACAGGCCGUGUACGAAGUGAGCCGCAGCUCCUACGUGUACCUGGAGGGCCGCUGCCUCAAUUGCAGCAGCGGCUCCAAGCGAGGGCGGUGGGCUGCACGUACGUUCAGCAACAAGACACUGGUGCUGGAUGAGACCACCACAUCCACGGGCAGCGCAGGCAUGUGACUGGUGCUGCGGCGGGGCGUGCUGCGGGACGGCGAGGGAUACACCUUCACGCUGACGGUGCUGGGCCGCUCUGGCGAGGAGGAGGGCUGUGCCUCCAUCCCCCUGUCCCCCAACCGCCCGCCGCUGGAGGGCUCUUGCCGCCUCUUCCCACUGGGCGCUGUGCACGCCCUCACCACCAAGGUGCACUUCGAAUGCACGGGCUGGCAUGACGCGGAGGAUGCUGGCGCCCCGCUGGUGUACGCCCUGCUGCUGCAGCGCUGUUGCCAGGGCCACUGCAAAGAGUUCUGUGUCUACAAGAGCAGCCUCUCCGGCUACGGAGCCGUGCUGCCCCCGGGUUUCAGGCCACACUUCGAGGUGG